UACGGAGGGUGCAAGCGUUAAUCGGAAUUACUGGGCGUAAAGCGUGCGCAGGCGGUUUGUUAAGUCUGCUGUGAAAUCCCCGAGCUCAACUCGGAAAUGGCAUUGGAAACUACCUUGCUCGAGGGUUGGAGGGGGGACUGGAAUGCUUGGUGUAGCAGUGAAAUGCGUAGAUAUCAGGAAGAACACCCGUGGCUAAGGCGGCUCUCUAGUACGGUACUGACGCUGAGACGCGAAAGCGUGGGGAGCGAACAGG
rnacentral:rRNA from 1 species